UAGGUCUCAGUUCAGAUUGCAGGCUGCAAUCCGCCUGCAUGAAGUCGGAAUUGCUAGUAAUCGCGGAUCAGCAUGCCGCGGUGAAUACGUUCCCGGGCCUUGUACACACCGCCCGUCACACCAUGGGAGCCGGUAAUACCCGAAGUCAGUAGUCCAACCUCGUGAGGACGCUGCCGAAGGUAGGAUUGGCGACUGGGGUGAAGUCGUAACAAGGUACC
rnacentral:rRNA from 1 species